GGCAGCGUUCUGAAAUCUGUGUCUUGGCUAAAGCCCUAUUGCAACGGCGGAUUAACAAGGAACACAAAAACAACUCGAUACGUACGAAGAUGAAUUUGACACGGAGACAGCUAUUGGAUACGACGGUGACUUAGAAGCGUCAAUGGAUCAGGAAGAGCUGAUUUAUACGUUAGGUUUGCCUGAAGAGUUGUGUUUAACAGCCCUCGUCGAACACAGUCAUCACGCGAUGAGUGAAACACCCCGUGAGAAAUAAGACAGAAAGAGCGCGCGCGCGAGCAAGAAAGCGAGAAAGAGAAAAAGAGUGAGACAAUUAGAAAAAGAAAGGUCUUGCCCUGCAUGCCCCCAGUGUGACGUGACAGCGAAAUGCAAGAUGUGAACGCGUAACCGUCACGGGGAGGUCGAAAGCGUUGCCUGAUACUCA